CAAGCAAGACGCGAGAUUAUUAAAAUGAACAGAGCUCCUCAAAAAAUGGGGGAGGACAUGGAAGGCAAUAUUUACGAAUCCAGUAAUUAACCCCGUGUUUUGCGUCGUCGUCAAAAGAAGAAAACGCAAACUUAACGCUUGGCUUAUACUGGUUGCACAAGUCCUUGUUUACAGUUUAGCGAGACAAAGAAAAUUGCAGAUCUUGCUUGAGACAAUGAAAUGCGAUCAAGUUUGCGCUCAGAUAUAUAAACGGUCAAAGUGGGGAUGAUGGGUCAAUCCAAGUUUUAUCCAAGUCUGGGAACAUACUUUAUUGUGUAAAGAAGAAGAAUACAACUUUAUUCGCCACUAAAAUGGCCAAACUUGCGGUGCUCGUAGCUGUAUUAGCCUUUGUAGCCCUUUCUUUGGCUGCGGAAGAAGUGAAGAAAACUUCGGAAGGGACUGACUUGAAGACGGCGAGUUCGUUUUAUGGAGGAUUUGGGUAUGGGGGUG